GAUGAACGCUGGCGGCGUGCCUAAUACAUGCAAGUCGAGCGAACAGACGAGGAGCUUGCUCCUCUGACGUUAGCGGCGGACGGGUGAGUAACACGUGGAUAACCUACCUAUAAGACUGGGAUAACUUCGGGAAACCGGAGCUAAUACCGGAUAAUAUAUUGAACCGCAUGGUUCAAUAGUGAAAGACGGUUUUGCUGUCACUUAUAGAUGGAUCCGCGCCGCACUAGCUAGUUGGUAAGGUAACGGCUUACCAAGGCGACGAUGCGUAGCCGACCUGAGAGGGUGAUCGGCCACACUGGAACUGAGACACGGUCCAGACUCCUACGGGAGGCAGCAGUAGGGAAUCUUCCGCAAUGGGCGAAAGCCUGACGGAGCAACGCCGCGUGAGUGAUGAAGGUCUUCGGAUCGUAAAACUCUGUUAUUAGGGAAGAACAAAUGUGUAAGUAACUAUGCACGUCUUGACGGUACCUAAUCAGAGAGCCAGGGCUAGCUACGUG
rnacentral:rRNA from 1 species